rnacentral:rRNA from 1 species
AACGAACGCUGGCGGCAGGCCUAACACAUGCAAGUCGAACGCCCCGCAAGGGGAGUGGCGCACGGGUGAGUAACGCGUGGGCAUAUGCCCUUCGGUUCGGAAUAACACAGGGAAACUUGUGCUAAUACCGGAUACGAUCUACGGAUAAAAGAUUUAUCGCCGAGGGAGUAGCCCGCGUAGGAUUAGCUAGUUGGUGAGGUAAUGGCUCACCAAGGCGACGAUCCUUAGCUGGUCUGAGAGGAUGAUCAGCCACACUGGGACUGAGCCACGGCCCAGCCUCCUACGGGAGGCAGCAGUGGGGAAUAUUGGACAAUGGGCGAAAGCCUGAUCCAGCCAUGCCGCGUGAGUGAUGAAGGCCUUAGGGUUGUAAGGCUCUUUCGCCAGGGAAGAUAAUGACGGUACCUGGAAAAGAAGCCUCGGCUAACUCCGUGCCAGCCGCCGCGGUAA